AGAGCUGUUUCAGCCUCCGCGGCUAAUGCUUUGGUUCUGUGCUAAUGAGGCUUUACUUUGCUGGGAACAGCAUUUCUUCCAGAGAGGGCUUGCCUUAGACAUGGGCUUUAAGAAGUAAUUUGAUAUCCAGCCACCCACCUCUCAGCCUACAGCACUUAGUGCUUUCCCUCAGCGGAGGUCUGUGGGUGCAGUCACGCUACUUCAUCUGUGCCACUCCGGAGGAGCCUAAUUACCUGGAGGAGGGGUUUGGAGAAACAGCUGGCCACUGUGGCAUGCAAAUUUAAUAAUCCUAGUAACAUCCAUCCUGAAGGAGUCCUAAGUAUUGCACAAAUUAUAUCUCUGCAUAAAUGGAUCCCACAUCAGCUGUUUAAUCCCACAUAUCAGCACUGCACGAUGAUGAUGAGAAGCUCCAGAAUGGGAAGCAAGAGUUUCACAUCCAGCUGAAAUUGCAAGGGUGAUUUUGAUGGACAGAACACGAAGGUCUGAACUAAGGUUGUCAGGAGGCUGGCCAGCAGCUGGGCCGGCAGGGACAGGCACGUGAGUGGAUGAGGGGAGCUCACUGUUUAACAGCUGCUUGUUCCGUGGCUUGGUUGCUGUGUAACCAACAACGUGACUUUUCCCCCCCAUAGAUUAGUGUCCCAAACAGUGAAAUGUCAUAAAAUACUGGGCUUGCAGAGCUCUGUGUGGAAAUACUUGGCUCGUAGUCCAUCUGCUCACCUUUCUAUGUCAGGAAUGGAAACUAGCUGUCUUGAGGCUUUGCUCACAUCUUGUACUCUGGAUUGUUGCUCACCCUGCUCAGUGUGAGAAGGGAGAAAAUGGAUCAGGCUGAAGUGAGGGCACGAGCGAGGAAACUGUGAAAAGGCUCCUUAAAGACCUGGAAGGUUUUUGCAUUUAUGGCAUUUUUCUGAGUGCUGAUUACCUGUGUGAGCCAGGCUGUGUAAUUAGCUGCUUGCCCUGAUAAAGGAGCACGGGACAAUGUGAGAGUUGUGAUAACAGAAUUGCAUUCUGCCUAAAUGACUGGGCAGAGAGAGCGCUCACCCUAGAUAGCCUGUCUGUGGUUUAAUAGGGAGCUUCAGCACUAACGCAGUUUAAACUAAACAAGAUAAAAGAGUCUUCCUGCGGCUUAAUCCAAUUACAGUGGGGUUGUAAUAAUGCUUGUGAAUGUGGGUCGCUCUCUCCUAGGGGGCACGCGGAGGAGGCCGCCUUUCCUCUGCUUCUGCUGCCUCCCUCUGUCGACAGGCAGCUCUGGUCUGGCCCUGGGACCAGCCGUCUGGCCGUGGGGACGUGCCUGCGGUCUGCAGCGCUGGACCUUGAGCGUGGCUCCCACACGCCUGCUCCUCCAGCCUCCCGUGCGGCAGACCCACGGUCUGGCUCUGCCGGGUGCCGUGUCCUUCCCACCGUGCAGCACCCGCUGCAACGGGGCUGCUCUGGCUGCCGCCCGAUGUGGCAGCAUGUCCUGGUGCCCAAACCCGCCAGACAGUGGCACACCAAGGACUUGGUUUUGCCAAAGUGUACAGACUGUGUCUGAACUUAGAUUCCUGACAAUCCGCUCAAACUGGCAGGACUGAGUGUGUGGGUGGGGAGGAAAGGAGGAGAGGUGGGAGGCGGGAGCGGGGGUGGGAGAGGUGUGGUUCCUGCGCAGCUCCUGCUGCAGACUGAAGGCCCGCUCCAGCUGCAGCUUUGCUCCGGGGCGAGAGACCCAGGUGCUGCUCUGCCAGGGCCGCCCUGCACAGCUUCAGUGGGGCAGACCCUCCCGUGGGGCCAGCGGUUUGGGGGCCCCGUUUGCCAAAGGCCUGUGUGUGGUAGCAGUAACUGUGCUGACUGCUGGGCAGUGGGGAGAUCACCCCGCGCUUGGAGGGCUGGGCUGGGGGACACCUUCCUUACUGGGUGUCACUCCAUCAAGUCCAUCUCUUUGUAGCACGUACUCAAGGAGUGUCUUCCCCCAGCUCCAUGAGAAGGACCAUUCCUUGUGCCUGGGGUGCUGGGUGCCCCAUGCUGGGUGCUGUGUCCUCCGUCGCGCACAUUGCUCUUGGCCAAGCGCAGGAUGUGGUGAGCUGGACCGCGCGGUGCCGGCAGCUCUGCUGCAGCUGCUCAGGCCGGCUCCCUUCCCGCGCUGCCGCGCCGAGGGCACGCUGCCGUCGCGGAGCUGCACUGCUUGGGCACCGCUCUGCCGCCAGAGGUGGUGGGAUCCUCCCUGCCUGCAGGAGCCUAGCAGAUGAUGCUUGGAAGAAGUCUUCAGCAGGAUGAUGCGGAGGCAGAGCACUCAGGGCUAAUUGCUGAGGACGUUGCCUGUGACGGUUGCAUUUUGGCAGAAGCAGGAAUGGUUUUGCUGGCAUUCCUGUGGGGCCCGGGGAUGCCAAGCUCUUGCCACUGGCUGCUUUUUGCUCUGCUGGUCACGUCCCGUGCAGCUCCGAGGGUGCCUGGUGCCGCCAGGACAGGCAGCUCAGUGCGGGGGACACAUCAGAGGGGCCCGAAUGGCUGCUCAGCAGGGCCGUGUCCCCAGGAGGCAGCGCUGUGUGCCAGGCCUGGCGCUGCUGGCUCCUGCCGUCAGCUGCCAGCGGCACCGGCCCCCGCGCUGCCCCGCUGGCUGUCGGGCCAGCCUGGCUGCCCACCAAAUCCUGUUUGAAAAUGUUACUAUUUAAAAAUGGUGCGUGUUUCUUUGCAGAAGCUUGGCCACAAAACUGUGUAUCAUACAGGGGGUCGAGUGGAGCAGGGGCUUGCAAACAGCAGUUGAUGAAACACGAAGACCGGCCAAUGCACUUUGCUCCCUUUGCUGAUCAGACAAUAAACACGCUUUUCUCUCCUGCA